rnacentral:misc_RNA from 1 species
GUAUUAAUAUUUAUAACAAAAGACAUUGCUGCCUUUUGAUAAAACAUUCAAAAACUAUAAAAUGGGGUGUGUUAUAAAAUACAUAGAUGCUGGACAAGCAAAGGCAGCCUUGACGGCAAAACCCUCAAAAGAACACAACAAUCCAAAGGAGAGUUGUUAUCCAGCAUCUACAAGGAGUGCACAGGUGGGUUGGAGAUAAAUAGUUUGAAAGGUGUGCACAUUACUCGGAGAGUCAGCUACAACCUCCCAAAUUAUAUUUAUUCAAUAAUGAUCCUUCCGCAGGUUCACCUACGGAAA